AAACAACAGUUGAUGCAGAAAGCGACUCAGGUAUCUUCUUGUUGAUCCAAACUUAUAACUAUGAGGGACCUUUUAGCAAAAAAAAAAAGUAUGGGGGACUUUUUGAGUUCUUUAUGAUAUCAUAGUAUCCUUCUUUUUAAGUUUAUUUAAAUCAGCUUGCUGAACCUCUGUUUAUGAAAACGGAAAAGGCAAACUACAAAGAAGCUUUAGAACGGCUCGGUAAUGCAUGUUCUUACAUUAGUAAGAUAUAUGUCAAUUGUCAAUUCGAUACUUAUUGGACGAAACAGAAGAAACUAUACUAUCUCUUUUGUGAUCAAAUAGGUGAUUGGAGCAUCGGAUUUACAGCGAUCAAAUACUGGAAAGGAUGAUAAAAGAGAGGGAUGGCAUUCCUCGCUUGUAGCAUUUGCUGGUAUUCUUUAAGUCAUACAUAUGACAUUUGUUGACUCAUGAAUGUUGCUAACAUUACCUUUACCUCAUGAAUGUUGUUAACAGUACCUCUACCUGGAGAUUGAUGUUUCUUUGUUAAUACGCUCUAUGAAAUGUUAAAGUUUUGAGGCUUAGAAGAAGAGUUACGCUUUAUAAGAGAAUUUCCAAUCCCAAUUUUCCAUUCUAUUUUGUUGUAAAUUAUGUAGUGGGAUCGAAAAUGCUCUAAGGCAAGUCAGAAGCUGUAAUGGCAUGUGAGAAAGCAAAGGCAUUGGAAUCUUCACAUUUCAGGUUUGUUUGAUUGCGCCAAAACAGCACCCGCCUUGCUAUCUUCUAGAUAUGUUGUUGCGUGUUGUUAAAGAUAGUUUGAAUCAUUAUGGUCAAUGUAAAAGUUGACCUUUCACACUCUA